rnacentral:lncRNA from 1 species
CAAGGUUUGUAUAGCCAGCUGAGGUCGUUAAAAACUCUCUUUCUUUUGUUGUUGCAGAUAGAUCUUGACCUGAUAAACAAUUUUACCACAUGUCAGAUUUGCUCUAAAUGCUUUGGUUUUUGAGUGAUAAGCCAAAAACCGCAUUUUACCCCUAUGUUCUAUUUUUAGCCAUGGCGGCCAUCUUGGUUGGUUGGCCGGGUCACCGGACACAAUUUUUAAACAAGAUACCCCAAUGAUGAUUGUGGCCAAGUUUGGUUUAAUUUGGUCCAGUAGUUUCAGAGGAGAAGAUUUUUGUAAAAGAUAACUAAGAUUUACGAAAAAUGGUUAAAAAUUGACUAUAAAGGGCAAUAACUCCUAAAGGGGUCAACAGACCAUUUUGGUCAUGUUGACUUAUUUGUAGAUCUUACUU